GAAAUGCGAUAAGUAGUGUGAAUUGCAGAAUUCGGUGAAUCAUCGAAUCUUUGAACGCACAUUGCGCCCUAUGGUAUUCCGUAGGGCAUGCCUGUUCGAGCGUCAUUUACACCUUCAAGCCUUGCUUGGUGUUGGGUGACUGUGGCCCCUUUGGGGCCACUCGCCUUAAAGUCAUUGGCGGCCGGUUCGUUGGCUUUGUAGCGCAGCACAAUUGCGUCCUCGAAGCCGCUGGACCAGCUCCCAGAAGCUAAUUUUAAAUGUUUGACCUCGAAUCAGGUAGGGAUACCCGCUGAACUUAAGC
rnacentral:misc_RNA from 1 species